rnacentral:sRNA from 3 species
AGCCACCGACCCCACCGCCUGCCCGAUUCCCGGGCAUGGAGUGAAUCCCAUCGUCAGUGGCUCGCCCGAUGU